rnacentral:tRNA from 2 species
GCAUCAGUGGUUUAGUGGUAAAAUCCAUCGUUGCCAUUCAAUGACUAAAUUCGAUGGGCCCCGUGUUCGAUUCACGGCUGAUGCA